AGGCCCGUAAAUACUUAAUCCAUCCAAGGGCUAUCCUAAAUGGAAUUUUGGUAAGAUUUUGAUUUGAUUUUCAAAUUAAAUAUGAAACGUAGACUUUUUGGAAACCCUAGCCCCAUACCUCAUGCUCCCCGUCUCUCUCUCUCUCUCUCUCUCGGAUCGCUCUCCUAGCACCACCGGCCGGCCUAAACCCCUCUGUUGACUCCCUCUCUCUCCCUCCGACGGUCCGACCCACCACCACCAGCACCACACCACCUCUCCAUCAGCGGCACCGGCCCUCUCCAUCACCACACCACCUCUCGAGAGUUAGAUUGGGGAUUGAUCGAUGCAUGGAGUUAUUUACAUGCGAAGCUGAUCUAUCUAGGGAUGGGUAAUCUAAGCAAAAAUGUUUCUUUUGGAUUUAUAAUUUCAUCUGGCGACAAAAGCUUUGGAAUUAACCAAAUCUAUUGGAACUUUCAAGCCAUUUAGGAUAGGCUUCAAGAACAUUUACAUAUUUCGUGGCCGAGGAGACAUUUUUGCCUCUGCUCCUUAAGAUUCAAGAACAUUUACAAAAGCACUAACCAUGUAUUCUAGCAGAUGGGAGUCGAUUCCUUUGUGGAAUUCAUUUUCUACUAUGUUAGUUGAGGAACAUAAAGCGCUGCUAGAAUCCAUUUUCUGUAUUCUAGGUGCGUUGUUAGGUCUCAUUAUGUUUUUCUCCCCCUUCUUUUCUCAUGUAUCAUUCGGUGACCAGAUGGAGCCCUAAUUGUGUGUGGUUACUGGACCUUUAAUUUUUGGAGCCUAACCAAGGUAGAAGUUUACAAUUUCUAUUUAGUUGUUGUCCUAUUGUUGCCCUGUUUUUAUCGAAAAUAGAUAUUUGGCUCUGAUUUGUAAGCCUAAGGAUGCUGAUUGAAAAUAUCGAAUGAAUGUUGGUGAUUUUUGACUUCGCUAACCCUCUAAUAUGAAUUCACUUUUUCGAAUCAAGUGUUGCAAUGAGCUUAAAUGGAUUUCUACUCAAUUUUUGGAUUUGCUCAAAAGAUAGAGUAAGAGUUAGAGUCUUGGAGAUGCUUUAACCAGUAAUUUAUGUCCUUAUGUUCAUUUUAGAAAACACUCAUUUCAUGGUACUGCUCUUCAUCUUUUGUCUAUUUUAUUGCGAGUGAUGUUAUUGCUGGGUUUGUUUUCUUUCUUUUGGGGUACAUGAAGUAGUAGAACCGUUACAAGUGCGCUAUGUUAUAAAGUUCUCUAUUUUUCAAUAAUUCUCUUAUUUCAGUCUUUUUUUUAAUGACCUUAGUGAAAGAGGAGGGCUAGCUUAGGAUUACUUAAAACUGUUUUGGGAUGCCACCUAAUGAGAGCUGGUAAAGUGAUUAUUUCUUCUUCUUAACGGACAGGGACGACUGAAAUUCUUUCAAGAUCUUCUGAGUGUGUGUGUAGAACUUUCUAAUAUAGUAGAGACCCUCUGUGAACUUUCUGAUAUAGGAAAUUGCCACCUAUUAAGUGGUAUUUCUCUUUUCCUUUGUUUGUUAAAGUCCUAUUCUUCGUGAUUUUGGUGCACAUUGACCAAUUAGAAUAUGAACCUUAUUUUCAAGCCAGUUGGGUUAGGGCAUGUAGCCAUAUAAUUUGGAACGUGCGUGCAAUGAGGUAUAUGUGAAUCAUUACAUGAGCUAACGAUCAUUCCCGUUUCAUUUGGAUUCCUCUUUCUCUCUUUCUUUUUUCGUUUGUUUCCAACGAAGCAACCCAGAUAUUGAUGACCCUCCGACAACACUUCCGGACUCUCCCCAAUAUCCGACGACCUUCGAAAUUGCAUUCCCAAGCAUCAUCGACCACCGAUGACUACCUAUCAACCUCCGGCGAUCUCCGGCGACCACCACCCCCAACUCCCUCUCUUAUCGAUCUCUCUGUUCAUUGUUGAAGUUUUGAAGCCCUAGCUAUGAUUUUUUUGAGGUUUAAUUUAUGCUCCUUAUUUUCUGUCUCU